GUCCACACCUUAAACGAUGAAUACUAGGUGUCGGGUCGCAAGACUCGGUGCCAAAGCUAACGCAUUAAGUAUUCCACCUGGGGAGUACGAUCGCAAGGUUGAAACUCAAAGGAAUUGACGGGGGCCCGCACAAGCAGUGGAGCAUGUGGUUUAAUUCGAUGCAACGCGAAGAACCUUACCAGGGUUUGAAAAGCAAGAUUUCAGAGGAUGAAAGUCCUUUACCCGCAAGGGGUCUUGUACAGGUGCUGCAUGGCUGUCGU
rnacentral:rRNA from 1 species